GUGCUCCCUUUGGACAUAUACUAAAAUUGGAACAAUACAGAAAAAAAUUAGCAUGGCCUUUGUGCAAGGAUGACAUGCAAAUUCAGGAAGCAUUCCAAAUUAAG
rnacentral:snRNA from 1 species